AACGAACGCUGGCGGCGUGCCUAACACAUGCAAGUCGAGCGCGAAAAGGGCAACCUGAGUAGAGCGGCGCACGGGUGCGUAACACGUGGGUAAUCUGCCUUAGAGUCGAGGAUAACCUUCCGAAAGGUUGGCUAAUACUCGGUAAGCUUACGGUGUCUUCGGACGCUGUGGGAAAAGUAGGCCUCUGUUUACAAGCUUACGCUCUGAGAUGAGCACGCGGCCCAUCAGCUAGUUGGCGGUGUAACGGACCACCAAGGCAACGACGGGUAGCUGGUCUCAGAGGACGAUCAGCCACACUGGAACAGAGACACGGUCCAGACUCCUACGGGAGGCAGCAGUGGGGAAUUUUCCACAAUGGGCGAAAGCCUGAGGGAGCAACGCCGCGUGUGUGAUGAAGGUUUUCGGAUCGUAAAGCACUUUCGACUGGGACGAAAAACCUUUGGCUAACAUCCAGGGGCCUGACGGUACCAGGAGAAGAAGCACCGGCUAACUCUGUGCCAGCCGCCGCAGUAAAAC
rnacentral:rRNA from 1 species